rnacentral:tRNA from 1 species
GCCGGCUUAGCUCAACGGGAAGAGCGCCGCCCUCGUAACGCGGAGGCCGCGUGUUCGAGUCACGCAGCCGGCACCA